rnacentral:rRNA from 1 species
UACGAAGGGGGCUAGCGUUGCUCGGAAUCACUGGGCGUAAAGCGCACGUAGGCGGAUUGUUAAGUCAGGGGUGAAAUCCUGGAGCUCAACUCCAGAACUGCCUUUGAUACUGGCGAUCUUGAGUCCGGGAGAGGUGAGUGGAACUGCGAGUGUAGAGGUGAAAUUCGUAGAUAUUCGCAAGAAUACCAGUGGCGAAGGCGGCUCACUGGCCCGGUACUGACGCUGAGGUGCGAAAGCCAGGGGAGCAAACGGG